rnacentral:rRNA from 1 species
UACGGAGGGGGCUAGCGUUGUUCGGAAUUACUGGGCGUAAAGCGCACGUAGGCGGCUUUGUAAGUUAGAGGUGAAAGCCCGGGGCUCAACUCCGGAAUUGCCUUUAAGACUGCAUCGCUAGAACGUCGGAGAGGUAAGUGGAAUUCCGAGUGUAGAGGUGAAAUUCGUAGAUAUUCGGAAGAACACCAGUGGCGAAGGCGACUUACUGGACGACUGUUGACGCUGAGGUGGCGAAAGCGUGGGGAGCAAACAGG